rnacentral:rRNA from 1 species
CGAGGCCCCGUAAUCGGAAUGAGUACACUUUAAAUCCUUUAACGAGGAUCAAUUGGAGGGCAAGUCUGGUGCCAGCAGCCGCGGUAAUUCCAGCUCCAAUAGCGUAUAUUAAAGUUGUUGCGGUUAAAAAGCUCGUAGUUGAAUUUGUGUCGCACGCUGUCGGUUCGCCGCUCGCGGUGUUUAACUGACAUGCUCGUGAGACGUCCUACCGGUGGGCUUAGCUUCUUCGGAGGCGGUCCAACUAAUAUCCCAUCGCGGUGCUCUUAAUUGAGUGUCGAGGUGGGCCGGUACGUUUACUUUGAACAAAUUAGAGUGCUUAAAGCAGGCUACUUUCGCCUGAAUAAUCUGUGCAUGGAAUAAUGGAAUAGGACCUCGGUUCUAUUUUGUUGGUUUUCGGAAAUCCGAGGUAAUGAUUAAUAGGGACAGAUGGGGGCAUUCGUAUUGCGACGUUAGAGGUGAAAUUCUUGGAUCGUCGCAAGACGGACAGAAGCGAAAGCAUUUGCCAAAAAUGUUUUCAUUAAUCAAGAACGAAAGUUAGAGGUUCGAAGGCGAUCAGAUACCGCCCUAGUUCUAACCAUAAACGAUGCCAGCUAGCGAUCCGCCGAAGUUCCUCCGAUGACUCGGCGGGCAGCUUCCGGGAAACCAAAGCUUUUGGGUUCCGGGGGAAGUAUGGUUGCAAAGCUGAAACUUAAAGGAAUUGACGGAAGGGCACCACCAGG